UACGGGGGGGGCAAGCGUUGUUCGGAAUUACUGGGCGUAAAGGGCUCGUAGGUGGCCAACUAAGUCAGACGUGAAAUCCCUCGGCUUAACCGGGGAACUGCGUCUGAUACUGGAUGGCUUGAAUUCGGGAGAGGGAUGUGGAAUUCCAGGUGUAGCGGUGAAAUGCGUAGAUAUCUGGAGGAACACCGGUGGCGAAGGCGGCAUCCUGGACCGAUAUUGACGCUGAUGCGCGAAAGCCAGGGGAGCAAACGGG
rnacentral:rRNA from 1 species